CUCACCUUUCUUUUGAAAUAUUCUUCUUCCAGAUUGGAUCUAAGUUCUUUCCCCCAGAAACAAACAAACAAAAAAGGUCGUUUUUAAUAUAGCGAAAGCACAGGGAUUAUUUUACAAUUACUCUUUUCUUCUCUCUGUCAUAGUUAUGGGAGGAUAUUUUUCAGAUCUUCAUCAUAAGAACCUGGUAGUCCCUGGAGGUAAUAUCCCUGAAUAUAUCUCUCCUCUCCAAACUGCAGUCCAUACUCAUCCUCCAGCAAUUUUUCAGAACUACUAAAUUUUCCUUCCAGUUAUGGUUCCAGCAUCUUCUGCUGCAGGUAGGGAAGUAUGAGCCGUGACUCUUGAGUCAUCUGUGUCUUCAGAUGUCAUGGCGAUGGUUUUCCCUGAAACCUCAGUUUAAUGCAUAGCAAAAAUUGAUUAGGAAACAGAUCUGCUCCUACAGCUGAAGCCUUCUCUUUUUCCACGACCAAAACGCAGUGAAUGACCAGCAUCACAGUCCCUGAGCCCUGGAACACAUUUCUUUCCCCUUUGCUUCCAGAAGAGAAAUAUUUAGAGGCUGACCUUUGGGACACUUUCUCUUAGCAGGCGCCAUGUUAUCCUCUUGCUGAGCUACCUCACUUUGAGCAUAAACCUCAUUUCUCUACCCUGUCCUUUCCAUUGCGAAAAGUCUCCACAAAGUACUUCAAAAAACACGUUUCAGCCCAAGUCUUAUGAGUAACCCACAACCUCAUAUCUGUUAUGUGUAGCCACGAUAGUCACAUAACUUAUCAAAACAGGAUAUUUCUGAGAGUGAACAAUGAUGAUAUUAAUAAUUUCGCCAGCACAACAGGUGCAAUCCAGAAUUUAGAAUCAUCCCAGUUCUGACCAGAUUGGAAGUUCUGGAAAGACUUUAUCCAUCACGUCCCUGAGCAUAUAAUCAUUUAUGCUUCCUUAACACAAAGCAAAUGCUUAAUAUUUGUUUAUUAUCAAGAUGACCUGCACAAUAAGAACCCAAACCAAGCCAGAUAGUGUAGAACUGGCCUGUUCAGCUGGCAGUACUAACAAACAGCACCUGCAAGAACGGGUGCAGUCUAGCUUACAAAACAGGAAAAUCAUUCACUGGAGAAUUUGCAUAUGGAAUACAGAUACAUUGCAUGGAGAGAAGGCUGACCUGGAGACUGACAGGCAGCUGUGGUGUGAAUGCCUCAUGACGGUGAAAGUCAGGAUGGUGGAUGGUGCUGCACUGCUUUGUUGA
rnacentral:lncRNA from 1 species